rnacentral:rRNA from 1 species
GAUGAACGCUGGCGGCGUGCCUAAUACAUGCAAGUCGAGCGAACGGACGAGAAGCUUGCUUCUCUGAUGUUAGCGGCGGACGGGUGAGUAACACGUGGAUAACCUACCUAUAAGACUGGGAUAACUUCGGGAAACCGGAGCUAAUACCGGAUAAUAUUUUGAACCGCAUGGUUCAAAAGUGAAAGACGGUCUUGCUGUCACUUAUAGAUGGAUCCGCGCUGCAUUAGCUAGUUGGUAAGGUAACGGCUUACCGAGGCAACGAUGCAUAGCCGACCUGAGAGGGUGAUCGGCCACACUGGAACUGAGACACGGUCCAGACUCCUACGGGAGGCAGCAGUAGGGAAUCUUCCGCAAUGGGCGAAAGCCUGACGGAGCAACGCCGCGUGAGUGAUGAAGGUCUUCGGAUCGUAAAACUCUGUUAUUAGGGAAGGACAUAUGUGUAAGUAACUGUGCACAUCUUGACGGUACCUAAUCAGAAAGCCACGGCUAACUACGUG